UUAUGGGUAUGAUAGGAACACGACUAUGGAUAUUAUCUUUUUUAAUAUUAAUUGUGUUGUUUCUUUGAAAAGAUAACAUGUAUUGCAUUACAGGUUUCAUGGAUAGUAGAGUUGUGUUAACUCUUUUAAUGUAGUGACUAUUUGAUUGAGUAUUUAUGUUUCUGUUUAAAUGUUUUUGGUGCAUUUUUCUUCGUCUUUAAUUUUAAUUAUUUUAUUAUAUUCAUGGUCAAAACAUAUUUAAUAUUAUUUGUUUAUUCACAAAUAACUAGCGUUUUACUAUAUUCGUCGCUUCACGCACAUAUUACUUUAUUUUUUGGUUCGCCGAGAUCAAGUAGUAAAAUAGGACAUGUUUGUGCUGUAGAAGGAUGCUACAGUUCACGAUGUGAUAAGACAAAAAAAUCAUUCCACGCAUUCCCUACGGACGAAGCGAGAUGUCGACAAUGGAUCCAUGCAAUUGGUCGCAGUGACUUAGAGAAAUGUGAUAUAAAAACAAUCAAUAGGACUCAGCGUAUUUGUUCUCUCCAUUUCGAUCCAACUGAUUUUUUUAAAAAUAAAUUAACAAUAAUUGCUGUUCCUACUUUACAUUUGCCUACACUAGAUUUGUGUAACCCAACAACAAAAUCUACACAAGUAGAUUUUGAUUGUCAAACUUGCAAAGUUGUAAAUCAAUACACAUACAAUUGUAAUCAAAUGACAAAACACACACAAACAGACGUCACUUGUAAAAAAUGCAAGACUCAAAUAGAAACCCUGACAACUUCAAGAUCUAGUAUUAAUCUGACACAUGAUCAGUGGACACAGACUGGACAAAAUCUUUCUAGAAAUAUUUAUAAAAAGAAAAAAGUUGAGAGAUAAUUAAAUUUUAAAAGAUGCUGAAUCUGGAUUUUAUGUUAAGAAGAUUUACAGUGAAGAUGUCGACAAUGGAUCCGUGCAACUGGUCGCAGUGAUUUAAAGAGGUACAACAUAAAAACGCUCCAUAAGAAUCAACGCAUCUGUUCUCUACAUUUUGUUCCAUCAGAUUUUUUUAAAAGCAAAUUAAUACAAGUGGCAAUACCUUCUUUAAAUUUACCGAAACGAACAUUAAAUGAUAAUCAAUUAAGUAUAGGCACACAAACAGAUGUUGAUUUCGUAUGCCGACUUUGUGAGACUACUAAAGAUAGUACAUGCAAUAGUAAGGAACUGACAAAAUGUACUCAGACUGACGGGGAUUUCAAAUGUCGAAUUUGUGGGUCUGAAGUGGCAGCGUUGGCUUCCACAGCUAAUAAAAAUAUGACACAUAAUCAAUGGGUACAGACACAUGAAAAUUUUUUUACAAGUGCUAAGAGAAAAAGAAAAUUGCACAAGUAAUUUACAUACAAAUGUAUGCUAUAAAAUUGUUUAACAAUCGUAUACUAUAUCAAAACUUGUUAAAAACUUAUUUAGACAGUCAGAAGAUAACGUCCGCUUUAGUAAGAAAAUAUAUAAUGAGCGUGCAAGAAUAUAAUUAAGAUGACUGUACGUACGACAAGGUUUAAAAAUAAAUGCGACACAAAAAUGUGACAAAGAUAAGCUGUUACAAAAGUCACUAUCUAGAUUACAAUGGUCAAAUGACUUACCCUUUAUUUGCGAAAUUCCUCUAACUGACUUACAACGUACUCAGAUCGCUCAGUUUCCUAAAGUAUAUUUAGCAAAGAAAUAAAUUAGAGAAGCGCAACCACUCUUUGGAAUCAACUUCCAGCAGCAGUAUUUCCGAACCGAUACGACAACAUAACCUUCAAGAAAAGAGCAU
rnacentral:misc_RNA from 1 species